rnacentral:lncRNA from 1 species
CCCGCUUUAACGAUGAAUUACUUUAAUAUUGGAUAAUCAUAGGCAAUCACUUUUAAAACUCACGAGUAGACAACUUACAAUAACACAACGACAAGUUGUCUAAAUAAUAUAAUUCUCGAAGCUAUUGGUUUAAAAUCUCUACAACACAUCAAUAAAGUAAAAUAGACUAAGUGUUGCAGCGGAAAUAACUCAAGUGGAUUACAUGUAUGAGGACAUGAAAUCCUGAGCCUGGUUUAAUACAUAUACAUCAAAGAAUUUGCUCUGCUCGCUUCCAUCUGCACCACAGCUUAACCUGCAUAUUUAGAAACAUACGCAGGGCUGAGUACCAAAAAGCACUCAGUGGUCAUACCGAAAUAACUUUAAAGCUUGCUCUUAGAGCUAUAUAUUGAACUUGCCAUCUCAAUCAUCACACAGGAGUUUUAUUUAAAUAACCUGUGCAUGCAAGAAUGUAAAACUUCUCUAUAAUCGUCUUAACAUCAUAUACGUCUGCAGACAAUUAACAUGUAUGUACCAUAUCUACGCAUCAUAUAACUCUGAGUGUUGAGAAGUAGGCCUCCUUCUCAAACACGAUGACAAGCUAAC